AUGUUAAAUGCACUUUUAGUAUUAUUUACCAAAUUUGAACAUUCUUGCUCCUAUAUGAUCAGUGCAGCUGAAAAAAUAUAUAUAAUGGAUGUAGAAUCAAGAGAAGGUGGACAUGUUGAGCUUGAUCGGUGUAAAUAUAUAUAUAUAUAUAUAUAUAUAUAUAUAUAUAUAUUUUGUUCAUGUCAUUUAGCUACAUCUCCUUCACCAUCACAAGUCAGCCAUGCAACAUCUACACCUUCACCUACCAAUUCACCAACAUCUACUCCAUCUCAUACUACCACCCACCAAAGCACGAGAACAACGACAUCAUUGUCAUCACAACCCAGGAAUAUGACCUCCCCAUCUGCAUCUAACAAAAACAGUGGAAAUAUGCAAAAGAAUCAAGCAGAUCUGGAAAAAAACAACCUGGAAAAAAACAAAGGUAAGUGUGGGACCACAUUACACAUUGUUAAAUUCUCAGCUUCUACUAUUUUACUGACUAAAACCAAGUCUUUGCCCUUUUUUUCUAGAUAAUAUUUUCUUAUCAUUAUUGACUGUAUCCUGUACGGUCAAUGUUGCUUUGAUUAUCCUUGUGUUGUGGCAGUGCAGGAGCAGGCGUCCAAAUAAUCUUCAGGUAAGAUAUUUAUUUAAAUUCCUUACAUUUAUGUGUUUUUUUUGUGUGGAAGGUGACAUAGAGUACCAGUUGAAAGUCUGCAUUGUAGAUUAAUACUAAAGUCACUCAAACUAUGAAGAGAAUUGUAUACAAAAAAGUGUUAAAUAUUAUUUUACAACCUAUUUCAAUGUCCAUUGCUUCAUUUACAUGCACUGGUUUUGUUCAUAAGGACAAAAAAAAUCAGUAUGUCCAGUUGAGUUUGUCAUUGUCAUUGUGGUGAAGAUUUCGGUGAAAAUAGAUUGACUCAGGAGGAAGAUGGUGGCUUCCGUGGUAACAAGUUUCUCUGAACUUGUUCUACUUAAUCUUCUCUUUAUUUUCCUUAAAUAAACCACUGCUACUUGUUCA
rnacentral:lncRNA from 1 species